rnacentral:lncRNA from 1 species
UCUGGUUUAUUCAUUCUCUGUGGCUUCUUUAAACCUUGCCUCCACCUAUAUUUGUCAUAAUUAGUGAGAUUCCUAAGUUCCAAGGCUAACAGAAUAGCAUAGCUGUAAACAUAGCGUAUCAUCAUUUGACUAAGCAGAAUCUAAGAAGAAAACAACUUCAUUUCUGGGUAGUAAUAUUGCAUUAUGGACAAGAAUAUCUUCUAUGUAUGAGGAAUCUGAGGCUGAGAGAGAAUAACCACUUGUCCAGGGUCAUAGAACUGAAAUAGGUUACGCCAUGUUGC